CAAUGUCUGUGCGUCACGCGUAAAUACUAGGAAAUUGGUGGAUGAUGGAAUCCUAGUUGUGUUUUACCAAUACUCCGUCCGCAGAAUUAUUAGUCCAAGGUAUAUUCAUGGCACUUUAUAGUGAAAUUUCUGACUACGAUUGUUCAAUGGCCAAGUGCUUUCUGCUAAAGUCAGAAUCAAACAAGGUGCUAUAUUGCCCGGUUUGAUUGGAAUCAUUUGAUAUGAAAUACAAGAGGAAAGGAAUGUGCAAGAGAAGAGAAUCAACUCAAGAAUAAUAGGAAUAAAUGGCAAAUUUUAAUGGUUCAAAGUAAUAGGAAGAAACUUGUUAAUUAGAAAUAAAAUAUUAUAAAUACCUAAUUUUCAGUGUUGAUUAUUAAAUAUAUUUCAAGUUA